rnacentral:rRNA from 1 species
UACAGAGGUCUCAACCGUUGUUCGGAUUCAUUGGGCGUAAAGGGUGCGUAGGCGGUCGCGCAAGUCGGAUGUGAAAUCUCAGGGCUCAACCCUGAAACUGCAUUCGAUACUGCGUGGCUAGAGUGCUGGAGGGGAGACUGGAAUUUACGGUGUAGCAGUGAAAUGCGUAGAUAUCAGGAGGAACACCGGUGGCGAAGGCGCCACUCUGGGCCGAAACUGACGCUGAGGAGCGAAAGCGUGGGUAGCAAACAGG